AAAUUGCGUUAGGGGUUGAAGCGGCAUCCUUUUGUAGAGCGUUCUAGCGAACAAAAGAUACAGCGAAAAACCCGACCUGAA
rnacentral:sRNA from 1 species